UACGUAGGGGGCAAGCGUUGUCCGGAUUUACUGGGCGUAAAGAGCGCGCAGGCGGCUGGUCAAGUCCGAUGUGAAAUCUCCCGGCCUAACUGGGAAACUGCAUCGGAAACUGAUCGGCUUGAAGGUGGGAGAGGGUAGUGGAAUUCCCGGUGUAGUGGUGAAAUGCGUAGAUAUCGGGAGGAACACCAGUGGCGAAGGCGACUACCUGGCCCAUUCUUGACGCUGAGGCGCGAAAGCUAGGGGAGCGAACGGG
rnacentral:rRNA from 1 species